rnacentral:rRNA from 1 species
AUGGAGUCACAGGAAUGCGUCUUGUGCAGGAAGGGAGGUUCACCUCAAAGCAGUGGUCCAAGCACUACCGGCCUACUCCAUGAGUUGUCUUACAUUCACAAAAGGUUUAUGCUGCAAAGUCAUGAGGCCAACUCCACCGCGCGACCCCAUCCUGUCCGCGCGCGUCCGUUUGGGGUGAAAUGGAUGAACCAGACGGCCGUUUGGGGUGAAAUGGAUGAACCAGACGGCCCAGCGCGUGGGCGCAAACGGACCGCGCGGCCACAUCUUGUCCGCGCGCGUCCGUUUGGGGUGAAAUGGACGAACCAGAUGGCCCAGCGCGUGGGCGCAAACGGAUUUUCAUCUGUUUUCUGUCCGCUUUCGACCCAUCCCCGGCCCAAGUUUGCGCCGCUUUUGGGGUGA